UUGUUGUCUAUAACAAGGUGAAACGGAUCGUAACCUUUUUGGGCCAAUUAGUAUAUGGGCCUUUAAAGUAAAACAACAAAAACAAAAUUGUAAACAUGUGCCCUCACGCAGGAUUGAACUACGGACCUUCAGUUUACAAGACUGACGCUCUACCACUGAGCUAUAAGGGCCUUUUGCUAUACUAAUCACUGUAGCAUUUAUGGAUUUCUGCAAACCUGUAAAGCCCAACCUCAAAGCCUAAUCACUGAUUAAAUAGACCAACUAUGACGGUAAAACAUUAUGUUCUUAACAAAUUUAAGGCCCAAUAGCUCUACUGUUAACAAAAAGGUGUAUGGUUCAAUUUUUGGUAAACUUAAAACGUUAUUUAUCUUCUUUUUUAACAAAACGUUAAUUAUCUACAUAUUAAAAAAAAAGUAGAUUUUGGGUCAAGAAUAAAAAUUUGCUUUUAAGCCUACAACUAUGAGGACUGACUCUGCUAUGAAGUACGAACUUACAAAGUAUCAACACAAGACAACCGAACCUAUAAACACACACACACACACACACAAGUUAACAAAUUUGGAAAAAAUUGAUUACAGUGUCUUUGGAGCUAGUUUGCCUUUUUGGACGAAGUAGGAAAAUUACACUCAAGCAGACAAUUAAAUGGAUAUAUUAAUUAGAGAAAUGAAAAUUACUUGCCUGCGUCUUACGUUGAUGGAAAGAAUAAUUUGUGUUACAUUUUUGUACAAUUUAUUUCUUAAUUGGCUUAAAUUGCACCUACAAAGACUUUGCCAGGUAGCUUUUGACCACUUUUUCAAGAGUGCUCUAGUUCUUAUUAAUUAAUUAACUAAAGUUUACAUUAAGUCAUAGUAAAUAACUAGGGUUGGAUCCGCGCCCUGCGCGGGGUGAGGUUGGUCUAAAAAUGAUCUACAAAAAUGAUGUAUUAAAAUUAUAAAACUGUAUUUUGAAUGGUUUGUAUAAUUUAAAGUGAACUAUAUAAAACUGAAAAGCAUAUAUUUUAUAGAAAUGAAAUACAGUAGACUUUAUGUAAUAGACAUUAAUUCUUAAAAUUGUUUGUUUAUAUUUGGUGGAUUUUGAUGUAUAGAAUAAUUUAGUGUUGUUGGGCCUUAUUGCAUAGUUGUCUAAAAUCAAAAAGAAAAAUUAGUUUUCUUUCAAAAAAAUUCAAGUUGCGUAAUAAAGAGUGUCCACGAAAAUAACACGCUGCCUGAUUUUUAAUUUUCCACAAUAUUUAUUACGAUUAAAUAGAAAACCACCGGAUAAACACAUUAAUAUUUCGGGGCUUUAAAAAAGAUUUAUAUUGGGCUUUUGUGACAAAAUUAUAAGCCCAAUUGUUACUGAAUAAAUAAUUGUAAUUUGUUAAUAUUUUUUUGCUUAAUUACCAACACAAAAAAAAUGAACAGAGAAAUAGGCGGUGACGAUGGCGAAAGGGGAGGGCGGGUGGAAGGGGGUUAGGGUUUGGUACCUCAUGAAUUGCAAUUGGCAGUAGAUCGACCAGAUAAUUCCAUAUCGUUAAUAUCCCCUUGUCUCAAGAAAGUAUCACCAUCUUGCAAAACUCUGAUCCGUGAAGCUGGAUUGUUUGAAGGUUACAAUCCCAACUGUUGGAAUUAUUCAGGUUCUAGCAUGGAUAAUGUUUAAUUUUUUUAAAAUUGCUUUAUCUAUCUCUCUAUUUAGAAAGUAAUAUCAUAUCUCCAAUGAUUUACCCAGUUUUGAUAUGUGUCCACUUGCAAUGAUUUUACAUCCAGUCCAUGGCAGUUUACAUAAGGAUAGUAUAGAGUCAUUGAAUCGUUUAAUAUUUCAGCUGUUAGCAGUUUGGAUCAUUUUUUGUGAUUAAUAUAUUAAAUCAGGGAAAAAGAUAUUAUAACUUCACGUUUAAAAUUCAAAGAUAACAUAAGGAGAAACACCAAAUAUGAAAGCAAAAAACCAUAAUUCAAAGCAACAAAUCAUAAUUAAACGACAGCAUUAAAACGUAGUUCGUAACCAGCUCAGCUCAUCAAUGAUUCUUUUCUUCAGUAGGCAUAGUAUGGAAUCCUGUAAAAAAAUAUAGAAAAAAGUGAGCAUAAAUAUAAUGUCUAUUGAACAAUCAAAUUAUAUUACCUCAUUCUGAAAGACUGGAUCUCUGGAACAUCAUCAGGCUCAAAUAAAAUUCUCGAAAAUCCAUCAAUCGUUUUCAUGUGCUGUAAUCCACCUGAUCAUGAUCCAAAAAGUAAACCUCAGCCAAAAUAUAUAAUACCAAAAUCAACAAAUACAGGUUUAAGCGAAUUAGAACUGAAAGUUACCAACACCCCAAACAAUUUCCCAAAACUGUAACACACAUAGGACGACAGGGGCAUUGGUUGAGUUCCAGUAGUUAUCUAAAAACAGAGCAACUUCUCCAUAUGCUACACAGUUAAUGUGUUCAUACCUGUCAUUUAGAGUAAAUCUUCAAUCAACUUCGUUUCUCCUUGACUUAUUAAGGUCACGAACUGGCUGACCAAUUCUUUCUUCACAGUACCAUGGAUCAUAUCGCCCUGCAAGAUAAAUUAGCAACAUAAGAAGAGUUUCGAAAUGAUCAAAUAUUAACAAAUCAACAGAGUGCUUACUUUUGAAUCAGCUAACACCAUGUCCAUUGUUUCUCCCAGCACACAAGUGUACUGCUUCCAAAGACGAAUCACCUUAACACGAAUUUUCCACAUCGACUUGAACGGCUUCAAAUCGCUAACAAAGUCCAAACCUGCCAUUAGAAUCGAUAGUCACAGAAAAAUAGAGCGAAAGAUAUAGAGAGAACACGAUAUCGUUGAAGCACUCCCAUCUUCCAUAUUUAUAUAAGUUAAAAAAAUUUCCGCAUAAAUGCGAUACUACACAAAAUAUAUUCUUGAUCAUACUAAUUGGCAAUUUUCAAAAAUAAAUAUAUUGAAAUGUUUUGUUUUUGGAAGUUAAUAGAUACCACAAAAGACUAUUUUAGGUUAUUAUUAAACUUGCAAAUCAAGGAUUCCGUAUGUGAUUUCCGUGACUUUGAAAAUAAUAUUAUUCACGGCAAUCAGCACUUAUUACAUAAAUUCAAAAUUAUGCAUGAUUGAAAUCCAAUAUUUCCAUAUACAAUAGGAUAUUGACCGAAAUAAAUACCUCAAUUCACGUUUGAGAUCACCAUAUUACAAAAACAGCACUCAUUUGUAUACUAAAUCUUAUUCGUUUGGUACUAUAUGAAAGCUGGAAAUAUUCCAAUUUACGAUUUUGAAUUGAUGAGAUGAAGUAAAUAUUAUACAUUUACAUUUAUGGAAAUAUUGAUUUUAAAUUCUUGGAGUUUUUUUUAUUCAAAAAAUAAAGACUGGCCACGGAAAACAUUUUAAAAUUAAAUCAUUUUGUUUAUACCUGUAAAUACAAAUGAUCUAAAUAACAUUUGAAAUGUAUAACAUUUCCAGCAAAUUAAACUGUUCAUAUAUUUGUUUUUGAUUCUAUUUUAAUAAGCGUAUUUUACUUUCUGUGUUUUAAAUUCUUGAAAAUGAUGAUAGAAACUGAUGAGCAUGAAACAGAGGAUAUCAAACGGACAUAGUUUGAUUAAGCACAAUGGUGAUAGUAGAUGAUGUGUGUAAUAGAGUUCAACUAAUGUAAAAAGGGGAUAGGAGGUAGGAGAUUAUUGGUCAGCGAUUAUAUCAUAUAACUAUAGAAGAAAUAUAUCAUAUACUGUUAUAUGAAUUAUACACAGCAUUGACUUAAUGACCUUCCAUGUCGAGAGAUGCAAAUAUCAAACGUCUGUCCAAUGGCAAUUAUAGUAAAUUGCUAGGGUGAGUGUGGCUGUUUCCAAAGGGGUCUGAGAAGCUCUAUCUGUCUGACACGUGGCCAUAAUGGCAAGCCUGUAAAUAUAUUACCAUUUUGAGGUUACUCUUUUUUUUGCUUCCUUUUUAAUAAUAAGGGGAUCAAAUCAUACUUCAUUCUUUAUCUAUUUGUUCGACAAGCUUUAUUAUAUAGAAUCCCUUCGAAAUGCCAACUCCCUAUUGGUUUGGAAAUUAAUCACUAUUUUAAUAAAAUAUUGAAAAAGGUAAUUAGAAGAUUCAUCUAGAAAAAAACAUUUUUAAUAGUAAUUUAUCCGUUUCAUCUCAACAUUUUAGGAUUUUUGUUUGAGAAAUUAAAGUUUAACUUAAUAUCUAAAACCAAUUUGAAUGCUAUUGGUUGAAAAUUCAUUCUUGAUAAAUGUUAGGUUUUGGAACAUCUCACUUCGAACUUAAUCAAGACUGGUAUAAAUGUUAUGUUUUGGAACAUCUCACUUCGAACAUCCUGGAUAAAAAAAUACCAAUCUAUUGUUUUUUGUUUAAAUGUAAAUGUAAACAAAAUAUAGUUCAACUAACAGAUGUAAAAUGAAAUCAUUAAUCAAUAAAGAUUCCCGUAAAAUAUUAAUUAGCACAAAGUAAUGUAGCUUAUCUUUUAUUAGUCUGGCAAGCGUUUAAAACUAUACUUUUUUUAUGAAAAAG